AGAUUGAACGCUGGCGGCAGGCCUAACACAUGCAAGUCGAGCGGUAGAGAGGUGCUUGCAUCUCUUGAGAGCGGCGGACGGGUGAGUAAUGCCUAGGAAUCUGCCUAGUGGUGGGGGAUAACGUUCGGAAACGGACGCUAAUACCGCAUACGUCCUACGGGAGAAAGCGGGGGACCUUCGGGCCUCGCGCCAUUAGAUGAGCCUAGGUCGGAUUAGCUAGUUGGUGAGGUAAUGGCUCACCAAGGCGACGAUCCGUAACUGGUCUGAGAGGAUGAUCAGUCACACUGGAACUGAGACACGGUCCAGACUCCUACGGGAGGCAGCAGUGGGGAAUAUUGGACAAUGGGCGAAAGCCUGAUCCAGCCAUGCCGCGUGUGUGAAGAAGGUCUUCGGAUUGUAAAGCACUUUAAGUGGAGGAAGGUUGUAACCUAAUACGUUGACAACUUUGACGUUACCGACAGAAUAAGCACCGGUCUAACUUCGUGACCAGCAGCCGUA
rnacentral:rRNA from 1 species